ensembl:lncRNA
UGAGCCUUCACAGUGCUGCUGAAAAUUCUGAUUGCAAAGCUCAGCAGCAGUUCCCUCGCUGACAAAGACCUGGACGUGACCUCGAAUAUCUGCAGCUUGGAAAAUGUUACACGGAGCCACAGAUGACUUCAGGCAGGAGUUCCAGGGCCUGAUGAACAGCUACCUCUGGACCGUGACUGUCAGUGCCUUUUCCUGAAAGCCUCAUCUGCCCCCAGGACUCUAGCCACUGAAAAGGACCCAAGCUACGAAACUGCCCUCAAUGAAGAAUGAAAACACCAUUUUGGCUUUUCCAAACUAAUGACUGGAAGCUCCCCGAGGACAGAAAGUGUAUACACUUUGAUCUCAUAUCUUCAUCACCUAGCUCAGUGCCUGGCACACAGAAAGCCAUUGAGUAGCCGUUCAAUGAAACAUUCAUCUUUAUCCUUCCACACAAUUUGACUCAAUGCUUUCUAUAUAAUGGAUGCUCAAUACCAAUUUGAUGAAUCAGAUCAAAUUGACACAUUGCUCAAAUUAUCUGAUAGAGAAUGCAGACACAGAGUACCACAAUUAGCCCGCUUAGGGACUAUUAAAAGGUUAUUUGCUGAAAAAUGGAUUUGACUCUGCUGAUCAAUGACAUCUGAUCACUAAGGUGAUCAGAAUAAGCAGACCAUGAUAUGGUUUCUGAAAUCAUCUGAAGAUACUGGUGUUUGAUUUUUACUGUUUUGCAAUUCCACCUAUGCCUAGACAUUGGCCACUAUAGGGAUUGGUAGGAAUAAAAAUGACCAUAAUCCUAAUUAUAAUAACUAUUAAUAGGCAUGUAUGAUGUCCUGUUCAUAUAUGCAUCAACUCAAAUAAUUCUCCCAAUAACCCUGUAAAGUAUAAACUGCUAUUAUUCUACUUUACAGAUAAAAUAAGUGAGACUGAAAAAAGUUCAA